GAUGAACGCUGGCGGCGUGCCUAAUACAUGCAAGUCGAGCGAAUGGAUUAAGAGCUUGCUCUUAUGAAGUUAGCGGCGGACGGGUGAGUAACACGUGGGUAACCUGCCCAUAAGACUGGGAUAACUCCGGGAAACCGGGGCUAAUACCGGAUAACAUUUUGAACCGCAUGGUUCGAAAUUGAAAGGCGGCUUCGGCUGUCACUUAUGGAUGGACCCGCGUCGCAUUAGCUAGUUGGUGAGGUGACGGCUCACCAAGGCAACGAUGCGUAGCCGACCUGAGAGGGCGAUCGGCCACACUGGGACUGAGACACGGCCCAGACUCCUACGGGAGGCAGCAGUAGGGAAUCUUCCGCAAUGGACGAAAGUCUGACGGAGCAACGCCGCGUGAGUGAUGAAGGCUUUCGGGUCGUAAAACUCUGUUGUUAGGGAAGAACAAGUGCUAGUUGAAUAAGCUGGGACCUUGACGGUACCUAACCAGGAAGCCACGGCUAACUACGUGCCAGCCGCCGCCGUAA
rnacentral:rRNA from 1 species